rnacentral:lncRNA from 1 species
CCUUUAAUUAGUAAUAUUAUCAUGCACGGUCUCAACAAAAAGUGUACGGAAUUACCUCAAUCUAAUUAAAGUUAGUUCUCCGCAAUUGCUCCAUCGUUUCUUCGGUUCUGUAGUGGCCUUCGGCUAUUUUCUGCUAUUUGGUCGAGUUGUUCUCCGUAAAUCAACAACUUCAUCAGAGAAAUGAUUGGUUUGAACAGUUUUUUUUUAGACGAAACGUGCGUCUGGCGUAAAUAUAAAAUUUUGAUCCUGGUAUCUAUGAUGAGUUUUUUUCAAGCUUUACAAUGAAGGGUUAUUCAGAUAUAUUGGUGCAUAUUAUCCGCAAAGAACUCGUAGAAUAUGCAUCGUAUUCGCGAUUUCGUAGGUAUAAAACAUCGGAUUUCUAAUUUCAUUAACAAUGUCAAUUACAUAUAAAUAUGUGAUAAAAAGUAAAAUCAC